UACGUAGGGUGCAAGCGUUGUCCGGAAUUAUUGGGCGUAAAGAGCUCGUAGGCGGUCUGUCGCGUCGUCUGUGAAAUCUCGGGGCUCAACCCCGAGCCUGCAGUCGGGACGGGCAGACUAGAGUGCUGUAGGGGAGCCUGGAAUUCCUGGUGUAGCGGUGAAAUGCGCAGAGAUCAGGAGGAACGCCGGUGGCGAAGGCGGGUCUCUGGGCAGUAACUGACGCUGAGGAGCGAAAGCGUGGGGAGCGAACAGG
rnacentral:rRNA from 1 species